GAAAGUAAGCAAGGGCAGACGGUGGAUGCCUUGGCUCUCGGAGGCGACGAAGGACGUGAUAAGCUGCGAAAAGCCCGGGGGAGGCGCAAAUAGCCCUUGAUCCCGGGAUAUCCGAAUGGGGCAACCCGGCAGGCUGAAGGCCUGCCAUCCCGUAAGGGAGGCGAACGUGGGGAACUGAAACAUCUAAGUACCCAUAGGAGGAGAAAAUAAACAAUGAUUCCGUAAGUAGUGGCGAGCGAACACGGAAGAGCCCAAACCCAUGUCGUCUAGGCGACACGGGGGUUGUAGGACCACGACGUGGCAAGAUAGAGUCAAGUGGAACGCCUUGGAAAAGGCGACCGUAGAGGGUGAUAGUCCCGUACACGACUGACGAUUGAAGCCUAGUGGCAUCCUGAGUAGCGCGGGGCACGAGAAAUCUUGCGUGAAACAGCGGGGCCCAUCCCGUAAGGCUAAAUACUCCCGAGAGACCGAUAGCGAACCAGUACCGUGAGGGAAAGGUGAAAAGAACCCCGAGCAGGGGAGUGAAAUAGACCCUGAACCCGUCUGCCUACAAGCGGUCGGAGCAUCGUCAAGAUGUGACGGCGUGCCUUUUGCAUAAUGAACCUACGAGUUACCUUCCCCGGCAAGGUUAAGUACCUAAGGUACGGAGCCGAAGCGAAAGCGAGUCUGAAGAGGGCGGCCAGUCGGGGGGGGUAGACGCGAAACCGAGUGAUCUACCCUUGGCCAGGUUGAAGGUUGGGUAACACCAACUGGAGGACCGGAUGGGUAAGCGUUGAAAAGCUUUCCAAUGAGCUGAGGGUAGGGGUGAAAGGCUAAUCAAACUCGGAGAUAGCUCGUACUCCCCGAAAUGCAUUUAGGUGCAGCCUCUUUAUAGUAUAUCGUGAGGUAGAGCGACUGAUUGGAUGCGAGGGCUUCACCGCCUAUCAAGUCCAGAUAAACUCCGAAUGCGCGAUAUAUAUUUACAGGGAGUGAGGGCGCGGGUGCUAAGGUCCGUGUCCGAGAGGAGAAGAAUCCAGACCACCGGCUAAGGCCCCCAAAUGAUCGUUGAGUUGAACUAACGAGGUCGGAUCGCAGAGACAGCUAGGAUGUUGGCUUGGAAGCAGCCAUUCAUUUAAAGAGUGCGUAACAGCUCACUAGUCGAGCGAUCUGGCGUGGAUAAUAAUCGGGCAUAAACGAUCUGCCGAAGCCGUGGAUGUCGUAAGACAUGGUAGGGGAGCAUUCCAUGCGGCGUCGAAGAUGAGGGAUGACCCUUGUUGGAGCGCAUGGAAAAGCAAAUGUAGGUAUGAGUAACGAUAAGGGGGGCGAGAAACCCCCCCGCCGAAAGACCAAGGUUUCCUGAUCAACGCUAAUCGGAUCAGGGUGAGUCGGGACCUAAGGCAAAGCCGAACGGCGACGCCGAUGGAAGAAUGGGUUAAUAUUCCCAUACUGCCUCAUGGAGUGACGUGGAGACGGAGAAGUGACAGUCCUGCCGGCUGACGGAAUAGCCGGUUGAAGGGUGUAGGAGUCGAUCAUGGUAGGCAAAUCCGCCGUGAGAUCCGAACCUGACAGUAUACUGAGCGCUUGCGCGACGUAAUAUGGACGUAACCAUGCUCCCAAGAAAAUCCGCUAAACUUAUCCAUGCGGCACCCGUACCGUAAACGGACACACGUGGUCGGGUUGAGAAUACUGAGGCGCUCGAGUGACUCACGGUUAAGGAACUAGGCAAAUUGACCCUGUAACUUCGGGAUAAAGGGUCCUCGUCGUAAGGCGAGGCGCAGAGAAUAGGUCCAGGCAACUGUUUAACAAAAACACAUGGCUGUGCUAAAUGGAAACAUGACGUAUACAGCCUGACACCUGCCCGGUGCUGGAAGGUUAAGAGGAGAUGUCAUCGCAAGAGAAGCGUUGAAUUGAAGCCCCAGUAAACGGCGGCCGUAACUAUAACGGUCCUAAGGUAGCGAAAUUCCUUGUCGGGUAAGUUC
rnacentral:rRNA from 1 species